rnacentral:rRNA from 1 species
CACAUGCAGUCGAGCGGUAACAGAGCGCAUGCUUGCUCCCAUGCUGACGAGCGGCGGACGGGUGAGUAAUGCAUAGGAAUCUGCCCGAUAGUGGGGGAUAACCUGGGGAAACCCAGGCUAAUACCGCAUACGUCCUACGGGAGAAAGGGGGCUCCGGCUCCCGCUAUGGGAUGAGCCUAUGUCGGAUUAGCUAGUUGGUGAGGUAACGGCUCACCAAGGCCACGAUCCGUAGCUGGUCUGAGAGGAUGAUCAGCCACAUCGGGACUGAGACACGGCCCGAACUCCUACGGGAGGCAGCAGUGGGGAAUAUUGGACAAUGGGGGCAACCCUGAUCCAGCCAUGCCGCGUGUGUGAAGAAGGCCCUCGGGUUGUAAAGCACUUUCAGCGAGGAAGAACGCCUGGCGGUUAAUACCCGCUAGGAAAGACAUCACUCGCAGAAGAAGCACCGGCUAACUCCGUGCCAGCAGCCGCGGUAAUACGGAGGGUGCAAGCGUUAAUCGGAAUUACUGGGCGUAAAGCGCGCGUAGGUGGCUUGAUAAGCCGGUUGUGAAAGCCCCGGGCUCAACCUGGGAACGGCAUCCGGAACUGUCAAGCUAGAGUGCAGGAGAGGAAGGUAGAAUUCCCGGUGUAGCGGUGAAAUGCGUAGAGAUCGGGAGGAAUACCAGUGGCGAAGGCGGCCUUCUGGACUGACACUGACACUGAGGUGCGAAAGCGUGGGUAGCAAACAGGGAUUAGAUACCCUGGUAGUCCACGCCGUAAACGAUGUCGACCAGCCGUUGGGUGCCUAGCGCACUUUGUGG